UACAGAGGUCCCAAGCGUUGUUCGGAUUCACUGGGCGUAAAGGGUGCGUAGGUGGUCAGGUAAGUCGGAUGUGAAAUCUCCGAGCUCAACUCGGAAACUGCAUUGGAAACUACCUGGCUCGAGGGUUGGAGGGGGGACUGGAAUUCCUGGUGUAGCGGUGAAAUGCGCAGAUAUCAGGAGGAACACCGGUGGCGAAGGCGGGUCUCUGGGCAGUAACUGACGCUGAGGAGCGAAAGCGUGGGGAGCGAACAGG
rnacentral:rRNA from 1 species